UCCCCGUUACCGAGGCAGUCUGGCUAGAAAAAUACAACUAACCAUAAGGGUUGCGCUCGUUGAAGGACUUAACCUAACAUCUCACGACACGAGCUGACGACGGCCAUGCAUCACCUGUCACUAGGUUCAAUAAAGCACUCUCGCCUUUCGGCAAAAUUCCUAGGAUGUCAAACCCUGGUAAGGUUCUUGGCUUAUCAUCCAAUUAAACAACACGCUCCACCGCUUGUGCGGGUCCCCGUCAAUUCCUUUGAGUUUUAAUCUUGCGACCGUACUCCCCAGGCGGGAUGCUUAACGCGUUAACUUCGCAACUGAGAGGGUCGAUACCCCCAACUGCUAGCAUCCAUCGUUUACGGCGUGGACUAC
rnacentral:misc_RNA from 1 species